GUCUACGGCCAUACCACCCUGAACGCGC
rnacentral:piRNA from 7 species